rnacentral:misc_RNA from 1 species
UGAGAGGCGGGACAUCUUCUUGG